rnacentral:misc_RNA from 1 species
AACGCACAUUGCGCCCGCCAGCAUUCUGGCGGGCAUGCCUGUUCGAGCGUCAUUUCAACCCUCAGGCCCUGCCUGGUGUUGGAGGACUGCGCAUGCAGCCUCCCAAAGCAAGCGGCGGCGGCGCCCCAUAACCGAACGCAGUAGUAACCUCUCGUUCUGGGUCUGGGUCGUUGUCCUGCCGGAAAACCCCCAUCUUUUUAAUGGUUGACCUCGAAUCAGGUAGGAAUACCCGCUGAACUUAA